rnacentral:lncRNA from 1 species
CGGUGACCUCUCCGGUCCACUUCCGGGGUCGCACAGCCCGCUCUCCCGGCCGGGCUCUUUGCUCCCGUGACUGCUCGGUGGCCGACUCCCCACGACCGGCCGGCCGGGACCGAAGCACGCCGAACCGGGGGGUGUGCUCCGGCCCGGCCAUGCGCGCGGCCGCAUGAUGCGUCCCUGCCUCGGCCGCUGUAGUCGCCCCCGUCGCCGCCGCCGGCCGGGAGGAGCCGCAGCGCUGGGCGACCCCGCCCGGGCCUCGGAUUGUGGAGGAGACAAAGGCCGCUGGGGGAACUCUCAACCUUGAAUUUAAGAUAUUUCUGAAGCUGGACACAGUGGCACCUUCCUGGGAGGCUGAGGCAGGAGCAUCGCUUGACCCCAGGACUUGGAGGCUAGCUUGGACAACAUUAGGAGACCCUGUUGCUUAAAAAAGUUAAAACAAAUGAGAAUCCAUUAUUCUCUUUCUUCCCCCAGCGGCUGAUGAAGAGAUGACCCUUCCGUCCUGAGUUCUCCAGUUCCCCUGUUUCAGUUGUUCAGUUCUGACUGCCCUUUCACAAGCCCAGCCCUGGGCAUGCUGUGCACUUCAGUGGGAGAGAGCCAUGGCUUCGGAGACACACCCUGUGCUCAAGCGGCCCACCACAAGAGUAAGAAGACAGUAACAUGAGGCCCAUGGCCACUGCCUUUCCUUCUGGCGUCGGAUCCAGCCGAUCCGUCCACAUCUUGUCACAGCAGCACCCGUGCUGCUGUCUUAACUGAGGC